ACCAUACUGGGAGUGCUGGCAUAUGACUGGGAUCAUGCUGGAAGUGACUGGGAUCAUUUUGGUGUUGAAAUGGAGCAACUGGGAUCACACUUUCGGCUACUGGGAGUAACUGAGAGAAAUUGGGAUCAUGCUGCAAGCAAACUGGAGUAACUGGGAAGGACUGGAUGCAUGCUGGAGGCAAUUGAGAUAUACAGGGCGUGACUGGUCUCCCCACAGUGCAGGUGGUUUCCAGCUGUGACCUCCUGUCCAAUGGAGUGUCCAUGGAUCCCACCGGCACAGCUACGAUGGGUGGGAUUUCAUCUCCUUCCAGCUGGGAUCCGGGAGCUUUGCAGUGUCUGACGGUGCCACCUGGAUCCCCCAGAGGUGCUGGGAAUCCAAAGGGAUCCUGCCAGAGCAGAUGAAGCAUUACCUGGGACACACCUGUGUGGAAGAGCUCCCAGAAUACAUUGGAUGUGGUCGGGAGGCUCUGGAGCACAAAGGUGGGUGUGGAGGGGAAUUCCUAUGGGAAUGUGGGAUUCAGGAAGGGUGGACUUGGGAAUUCAGGAAUUCCCAUGGAAUUUCCAUGGAUGGAUCUCACUCACAUCCCAGUCAGGUGGGAAUUCCAUGGACGGAUCUCCCCCCCAGCCCACUGCCAUGGGAAUUCCAUGGGGAAAUGACUGGAAUUUAUGUCCAAUCAAAUCCCUGCUGCAAUUCAGUGGGACAUAAAUCCCAAUCUUUUCCCCAGGCCGGGUCUGUGGUGCCCGUGGCAGCGCCAGGGGAGUGCCCUCUCCCUGCCCGAAGCCGAGCUCGGGCCUUUCCUUCGGUGUUCUCUGCCCUGCCCGGGGCAGGAGGGCACUGACAGAGCAGCUUUGGUGGCACCGGGCACCGGCCGGGCUCCGGCCACUGCAGGUGGCUCCGUGGGAAUGUCCGGCACCAAAGCUUCAAGCGAACAACAGCUCCUGGAGGGGAUUCUGCCCCCUCUGCCUGUCCUGGGAGCCCAAGGGCAACGCCCCGGGCACAACAGCCCAGAGUGCUGGAGCACAGUGUCCCUGGGCCAGGCCGUGUUCCCGGGCUGUCCCGUGUCCCUCGGCUGUCCCCUGUCCCUCGGCUGUCCCGUGUCCCUCGGCUCCCUGGGGCCGGGGGUGACAGCAGGACCCAGGGCAGCCCUGGGGGUGGAACAACCCUGAGCCCCAGCUGGGCCAGUGUCGCUGUUAUUCGCAGAAAGACAGUGAAAAUCACGACGUAAGUCCAGGUCAGACUUGUGUGGCCGAAGUGGCCUCAUUUAAUCACCCGUACCUUUUAUAGCAUGGUUCGCAAAGAGAAAUUACAUGAUUGGCCCAUUGACCCGCCACCUCUCAAGGUGAUAGGUUGAGCAGUAAUGCACCCAUUUCCAAAUAUUAUUCUUAAAGAAGGAAAAUAAUUUUCACAGUUCUCAAAACAACCUGCAGGUGUAGAAAUGGUUUACAUUCUCUCAAACUGUUGUCCAUCCAGUUCACAUGAGAACGAAAGCUUUCACAGAGAAGCUGUGAGAAGCUGGAUUUCUCUAACCGCUUUCUUAUGAGAAAGAAAAGUUCACAGGAAAAUUCCUCUGUCAGCCCUUGCUAGCAUCCACAAAACAGUUCCCCCAGUUCCCCCCAGGGGGGCCCAGGUCACUCCCAGCAUGGGCCCUGUGGCUCCCAGUCACCCCAGUAUGGUCCCAGCUCACUCCCCAGUAUGAUCCCAGUCAUUUUCAGUUAUACUCAGUAUGAUCCCAGUAUGACCCUGGUCACUCCCACUAUGAUCCCUGCAUGGUCCCAGGUGUUCCCAUUCACCCUUAGUAUAGUUCCCAGCACUCCCAGUACAGUCCCAGUUUCUCCCAGAAUGAUCCCAGUCAUUCCCACUGUGGCUCCAGUCCUCCCCAGUAUGAUUCCAGUAUGAACCCAGUCACCCUCAGUACGAUGCUAUUUACUCCCAGCAUAGUCCCAGUAAUUCCCAGUAUGAUCCCAGUCACUCCCAGAUACUCCCAGUAUUAUUCCAGUAACUUCCUUUAUGGUUCCUCUAUGAUCCCAGUCACUCCCCGUCUCUCCCAGUGUCUCCCAGUAGCUUCCAGCAUGAUUCCAGUCACUCCCUGUAUAUCCCAGUUGCCCUCAGGAUGCUCCUAGUCACUUCCAGUAUGAUCCCAGUAUGACCCCAAUCACCCUCAGUGUAGACUCAAUUGCUCCCAAUAUGAUCCCAGUUGUCCCCAGCACGGUCCCAUUUCCUCCCAGUGUGAUCCCUGUAUCUCCCAGUUGCCUCUAGCAUAGACCCAGUCACUCCCAGCAUGAUCCUACUCUGAUGCCAUGAUGAUCCCAGUUGUCACCCGCAUGCUCCUAGUUGCUCCCAGUUCCUCCCAGUCUGAUCCCAAUUGCUCUCAGUUGCCCCUAGCACAGAGCCAGUCAUUCCACAUAUUCCCCAGUAUGUGUCCAGUAGGAUCCCAGUCUCCCCCAGCAUGGUCCCAGUCAAUCCCAGUUGCUCCCAGUGUAGACCCAGUCACCCCCAGUGUGGUUACAGACACUCCCAGUAUAGCCCAGUUGCCCUCAGCUUGCUCAUAGUCAUUCCCGGUCACAGCCACUUGCCCCAGUAAGGUUCCAGUUCCCUCCAGCAUGAUCCCAGUCACUUCCAGUCUCUCCCAAUAUAUCCCGGUUGCCUCCAGCAUGCACCCCAUCACUCCCAUGUACCGCCAGUUGCUUCCAGCAUGCUCCCAAUUGCUCCCAGUAGCCCUCAGUGUGGUCCCACUUACUCCCAGUAUGACCCCUGUUGCCCCAGUUCUGGUCACACUUUGUCCUGGUCCUGCUGUAUCCCAGUGUCCCAGCCUCUCCCAGUCCAUCCCAGCCUGUCCCACUUCAUCCCAGUCCCUUCCUGGCAGCCGCACACGUUUCCUGGAUCCUGCCAACCUGCCCCCGGAGCUGCCACCGGACGCCCCCCAAGAUGCUGAUGGGGGUCGGGGGCUUCGUGUUGGGCUUCAUACUCCUGGGCUGGGACUCGGCCUCCACCUGUGGGAGGAGGUGACAGGGGUCCCCAGGAGUCAUGUCCCCCCUUGAGCAUGUGAGCCCCUCCCGGGAUUCCCCCCAUCCUGGGGUCACCCCCUUUUCUCUCCCCUAGAGCUCCUGACCCAGCUCCUGCUCCCCCCUGGGAGGGGGUUUUGGGGAGCCUCCCUUUUCCUUGGGGCCCCCCUUGAAUCCCUAUUUCUGGGCAUUGGGACCCCUCUGCACCCCCUUUCCCAGGUAUCCUCCUCUCCCAGCCCCUGGAUCCCCUGUUUCCUUGACCCCGGGGACCCCCGGACCCCCAUUCCCAGCCAUCCCGUGGCACCUCAGCCCCAGGCCUCCCUUUCCUGGGAAACCCGAACUGGGCACGGGGCUCUGCAGCCGCUCUGGGAUUUAUUGUCACCCAAAGGAAAGCGACAGGAGAGGAGAGAGGAAGAGAAGGAGAUUGGGAGUCAGGGAUCGGGGUCACAGCGCCCAGUCCUGCCCCGCCGGGGCUGGGGCCCCGCAGCCACAGGACAAAAUGGAUCCGCGGCUCCCGGUGCUUGCCCCGCUUCGGGCCGAACCCAGCGGGUUCCAGGCAGAGUUUGGCCACAGGGCCCAGGAGUUCAGCCCAGCCCGGCCCAGGGGUCCCACAGUGCACAGCCAAGGAGGGUCCCAAAGGGGUCACAGGAAGAUCCAGGCAGGUCCCAGGAGGGUAUCCAGGUGAAUUCCCUGGAAUUCCUGAGCACCAGACCCCCCUGAACUUCCAUUUCCCAUCACUAGAACACCAUGCACCCUCAUUCUCAUGAAGCCCCUUGAGCCCCCCAUUCCUGGGUACUGGGACCCCUCUGCACCUCCCUCCCCAGCACUAGGACCCAACUGUACUCCUGUAUCUGGCACUGCAACCCCCCUGAACCUCUAUUUUGAGGCACCCAGACCCCCUUUAACCCAGAUUCCCAGGAACUUCCCUGAACCCCUAUUCCCUGCCAUGGGAAACCCCCUGAUCCACCAUUCCUGGGCCUCGGAACCCUCUUGAAACUCCAAUUCCUGGCCAGCAGUGAGACCACCUGACCCCCCAUUACCGGCAGUGGGACCCCUGUGCAGCCCAUGGGUCUGAACCCCCCAUUCUCAGGCAUGAGGAACCCCCUGCACCUCCAUUCCCAGCUCCAGGACGCUCCUGAACCCCCUUAUCCUGCACCAAUAACCCCCUGUACCCCCUUUCCUGGCCAUCUCGCCUCUCUCAGCCCAAAGACCCCCCCUUUUCCUUGACCCAGGGACCCCCUAGAGUCCCAUUCCUGCAUUUCCAGCACCCAGACCCCGCUUUGCUCAACACCGAGGGCCCCUGGACAUCCCUUUGCUGGGCACAAGGACACCCUGGAUCUCCCAUCCCGCCUCUCAGAGCCUUUGCAACAUCCCCAUUCCGUGACCCUUCCCGGCUCUCCCAGUUCCGCUUCCUUGACCCUUGGACACCGCCAGACUCCGCCAAUCUCAGUCAUCCCAGUUCUCCACUCCCUGCGCUUCCUGCAGGGGGGUACCAGGGGGUUCGUAAGGUUCCCUGCGGGGGUCCCAGGAGAGAUCCAGGGGAAUUCCCAGGAAAUGUCCCCUGUCCCUGCCUCCCGCGGUCCCUCGGUCACUUUCCCGUUUCCCAGCCUGCACCACCGGGAUCUGCCCGGAGACCGGUGAUUGCCCCCGGCACCGGGACCCUGCUGAAUCGCAGUUCCUGGGCACCGGCACCUGUCUGAGCCCCCAUUCCUCAGUACCGGGACCCCCCUGCACCCCCUUAUCCAGCACCGGGACACCCCUGCAAACCCUUUUCCCGGCCAUCCCGUCUCUCCCGGCCCACAGACGUCCUUUUCCUUGACUUUGAGCCUCCCGGGACCCCCCAUUCCUGGCUUUUCCAGCUCCCAGCCUCCUACUUCCUCAACACUGGAGACCCGUGUACCCCCCUUUCCUGGUCAGAGGAACCGCCUGGACCCCCAUCCCGCCGCUCCACGUGCCUUCACUCCCUUUUCCUUGACUCUGUGACUCCCCUGAACCCUCAUUCCUGGGAAUGCGGACCCCCUGCAUCCCGUUAUCCGGGACUGGGACCCCCGCCUGCACCCCCUUCACGUGCUCUGGGACUCACAUGCAACCCCUUAUUCGGCACCGGGACGCCACUGCACCCGCAUUCCUGUGCACAGAGAGCCCCCUACACCCCCUUAUCGUGCACCAACACACCCUUGCAUCCCCUUCUCAGGCAUCCCGCUUUUCCCAGCUCCCAGACCCAGUUUUCCUUGACCGUUGGAUCCCUCAGACCUCCGAAAUUUCCGUGUGCCCCCAGUUCUCCACUUCCGGCGCUUCCUGAAGGGGGAUCCCAGGGGCUCCCGGAGAGCCCCAGGGGUCCCAGAGGGGUUUAGAGGGGUCGCAGCGGGGAUCCAGCGGGAUCCAGACGAAUUCCCAGGAACUACGCUUGUCCCCAGCCCCCGCGCCCCCUUGGUCGUUCGCUUCUCCGUCUCCCGACCUGCGCU